rnacentral:sRNA from 1 species
GGAUCGCUUGAGCUGGGAGUUGGAAUCUUCAGUGAGCUGUGAUUCCACUACUGCACUCUCGUCCGGGCAACAAAGCACUCUCUGGCGGAGGCAGGCUGGGGGUUGGGGUAAUAAUGUAGGGAAGGAGGAAAUGAUUAGUAUCUGCAGUACAGAGGACUUUUUAUUCCCCCAGGUGUCUAUUAAAAUAGAUCUGGAUAAUGGUGAUGAAUCAUAUUUAAUUCAAUCAACUUUUUUUUUUAAUAAACUAAACACAGUGCUGACAAUACUUGGGAACCUGAAGAAAAUUUAGAUUGUCCAGAAUUGAUUGAAGCAUUUCUUAACUCUCAGAAAGCUGGCAAAGAAAAAGAUGGUACAAAAAGAAAAUCUUUAUCUGACAGUGAAUCUGAUGACAGCAAAUCAAAGAAGAAAAGAGAUGCUGCUGACAAACCAAGAGGAUUUGCCAGAGGUCUUGAUCCCGAAAGAAUAAUUGGUGCCACAGACAGCAGUGGAGAAUUGAUGUUUCUCAUGAAAUGGAAAGAUUCAGAUGAGGCAGACUUGGUGCUGGCAAAAGAGGCAAAUAUGAAGUGUCCUCAAAUUGUAAUUGCUUUUUAUGAAGAGAGACUAACUUGGCAUUCUUGUCCAGAAGAUGAAGCUCAAUAAUUGUUCACAUUGUUUUUUUAUAUAUAUUUAUAUAUAUAUAUAAAAUUUGGGUCUUGGAUUUUGAUUUACUAGUGUGACAAAAUAACUACAUCCUAAUGAAAAUCAAGUUUGAUAUGUUUGUUUUGAAAGUAGCGUUGGAAGAGUUGUUGGGGGUUUUUUUGCAUCCAUAGCACUGGUUACUUUGAACAAAUAAAUAAAAGCUUUCUGUAGUUGCUU